AUUGAACGCUGGCGGCAGGCCUAACACAUGCAAGUCGAGCGGAUGAGUGGAGCUUGCUCCAUGAUUCAGCGGCGGACGGGUGAGUAAUGCCUAGGAAUCUGCCUGGUAGUGGGGGACAACGUUUCGAAAGGAACGCUAAUACCGCAUACGUCCUACGGGAGAAAGUGGGGGAUCGUCGGACCUCACGCUAUCAGAUGAGCCUAGGUCGGAUUAGCUAGUUGGUGAGGUAAAGGCUCACCAAGGCGACGAUCCGUAACUGGUCUGAGAGGAUGAUCAGUCACACUGGAACUGAGACACGGUCCAGACUCCUACGGGAGGCAGCAGUGGGGAAUAUUGGACAAUGGGCGAAAGCCUGAUCCAGCCAUGCCGCGUGUGUGAAGAAGGUCUCGGAUUGUAAAGCACUUUAAGUUGGGAGGAAGGGCAGUAAGUUAAUACCUUGCUGUUUUGACGUUACCAACAGAAUAAGCACCGGCUAACUUCGUGCCAGCCGCCGCAGUAAUAC
rnacentral:rRNA from 1 species